rnacentral:rRNA from 1 species
GAAUUUUGGACAAUGGGGGCAACCCUGAUCCAGCCAUGCCGCGUGCGGGAAGAAGGCCUUCGGGUUGUAAACCGCUUUUGGUCGGGAAGAAAAGGCGCCGGAUAAUACCUGGCGUUCUUGACGGUACCGGCAGAAUAAGCCCCGGCUACAUACGUGCCAGCAGCCGCGGUAAUCCGUAGGGUGCGAGCGUUAAUCGGAAUUGCUGGGCGGAAAGCGUGCGCAGGCGGUUCGUUAAGUCAGAUGUGAAAGCCCCGGGCUUAACCUGGGAACGGCAUUUGAAACUGGCGGGCUGGAGUGUGGCAGAGGGGGGUGGAAUUCCACGUGUAGCAGUGAAAUGCGUAGAGAUGUGGAGGAACACCGAUGGCGAAGGCAGCCCCCUGGGCCAACACUGACGCUCAGGCACGAAAGCGUGGGGAGCAAACAGG